UUCCUUAUCACCGAAAAAACCAUUCUCUGGAAAAUCCUGAGAGAGCCGUCUCCGCCAUCUUAGGGACGACUCGGGAAGUCUCCUUUUUGCUUGCGGGGACGACUCCGCGUACAGCGGGGACGUCUCGCGCAUAUCCCUUGAAAAGCGUCUUUCUGCCGCCACUGAGAGAGUCGACUCCGCUACUGAGAGAGUCGACUCCGCUAACGCGGGGACGACUCGACAGGAGCCGGGGACGUCUCCAAGUGUGCCAAUUCUUCCUGCUUGUGCCAGAGACGUCUCUGAAACUAUCAGGAGACGUCUCGGCUGUCCCUGAACUUUUUCUUUAGCUCAAAAUAUUCUUCAAUAAAUUCAUAAAAAUUAUGAAAACUUGCCUAGACAUUUCUUAACAAUAUUCUAAAUAAAACACAUGAAUUUCUCAAUUGAAUUGUUAAGAUAUAAUGGAAUUUUACUCUAGUGUUUUGUAUUCAUCAAAAUCCAUUAGGGGGUUAACAAUCUCCCCCUUUUUGAUGAUGACAAAACACUGAGUAUAUGCAAAAUUUGAAAUUUAAACAUAUACACAGUAUUGAUCAGAUAUACAAGUAUAAUGUUUUGAUUUGAACUAGAUACAAUGUGCAUCACUC
rnacentral:lncRNA from 1 species